GCACUACUCAAUCAGACUCUCUCUAUAUUUUUUCCCAUUAUAGUAAUGAGGAAAUAUUGUGUUUUGACUCUUACAGUGAUUUCCUUUCUGUUUUAGGAGGACCUAUGCAUGUUUUAAAAAUAUUAUCCCUCCCUCCUUUGUUGGUGAACAUAGGAUUCUAAACACAUUUGGUUUUGAUUUACACCUGUUCUCCAUACCAAAUCAGAUCAAAUACUGAACAAAAAGAAGCAAGAGGAUUCUAACCUGGAGAGAGUUCCCUAGCUCACUUGGGAUGCCUUUCAAGUGUAAGAGAGCCAUGAGGACAAAAUGAGAGCAGGAAGAUAAAAGUCUGACAGCUUUUAUGGCAAAUAAAUGAACAGUGUUG